GCCUCUUUAGCUUAAAUCUGGCAAAGCCCCACCUCGUAAGUGGGAAGAUGGCGGUUCGAAUCCGCCGGGAGGCUCCA
rnacentral:tRNA from 1 species